rnacentral:lncRNA from 1 species
UUAAAGUAAUAAAGUAAACUGAAAUUUUCAAGUGCUUUAAAAUCAUCCUUAAUAUUUAUUGCUUUAAUUGAUGAAUUAGUCUCUUUUUUUUUUUUUUAUUAAUUACUCAUUAAAUGACGAAAACUCGCCAUGCUACAUGAAAGAAAAAUUUCAAUUUGCUUCAACUCUACAUAACCGAAAUCUCAGAUCAACAAAUAAUCUUAAUCUACAUAUUCCUAAGCCUAAUCUUGAAUUUUAUCGAAAAUCACUUUCUUAUUCUGGAACUAAAAUCUGGAACAAUAUACCUCUCUUUGUACGCCAAUCUGAAAAUACUGAAAAUUUCAAAAAAGCUUAUUUAAAGUGGAAGUACUCUGGCUAAUUUUCCUUCAAUCAAAAUUAUUAUUCCAUGCUUAUAUACAAUUUUAUGUUUGUAAUUUUGUUUCUGUGAUUUUUCUUACUACUGAUUAACAUUUUGUGUUUAUUUCAUUUUGUAAUUGUUUAAUUCUGUAUUUAAUAUUAUUGCUACUGUUAUUUGAUGUAAAUGUUGUAAAAAUGUAGAGGCACAUAUGGAAGAUCGUUUUGGCGAAUAUGUAGCCUCGUUAAAUAAAGUCUUUAUUAUUAUUAUUAUUAUACGCUUCAAACAUUUUUUUUCAUGCUAUAAAGUCUACUGAAAAUUAUAUUCAACCAGUAAUUUUCUUAGUAUCCUAGUGUAUGUAUACUGUCUGUCUCUGUGGAUAGUGUGUUGGAUUGUUAUUUGUUUAAAUAUAAGUGCUUUAAUAGGAUAACGUAAUAAUGGAGUGUCCUUGCAUUAAGUGUAGGAACGAAGUAAGACUGCGCCAACAGGCAAUUGCCUGCGACUCGUGUACGCAGCAAAUGGCAACGCAGAACCUGUAACACAGGUAUUUCAGCAGCAGCAUGCAGACAGGCAGUCCGUGAUGAAGCUGAAUUUCAUUUGUGAACCAUGUAAAGAUCAAAUACCCCCACUGAUGAAGUUGCAGAAGAGCAGCUACUGCACAGGGGGUAUGUCUGCAAGUUCCUUGCUAGAAAAGAAGAGUGCUCACCAUUUACAAACCAAGGCUCACCACAACAGUUCAGUAUGAGGAAUAAUUGUGAUAAAAACAUUAACUAGCAUAAAAGUGAAUUUAACUUCUUCAUAUUGUGUAGCUGGAACACUGUGAAUUAAUAUUGUGACAUGAUAUUGUGAAUUUGACUUCUUGGUGUAGAACAGUGAAUGAAUAGUGUGGUAUGUUAUUUUUACUUCAUAAAUAUGCAGUUGUGACUGUUCUGAUGUUUUAUUAAAGUUUUAUAAAUAAAGUUAUUACUCUGAACAGGAUUUUUGUUCAUUCUACACAAAUUUUGAUUGUACAGAAGAAAAAAUGUUCCCUUCUCAAAUGUUCACACCUUAUUACUGGUGAUUAAUGGGUUUAUGACACCUACUAAUAUUAAGCCCACAUGCAGCUCAAUUAAUGCACAACUAUGUGAUAGGUGUUGAUUGCAUUAUUUUAGGUG